ensembl:lncRNA
AGGGAGGAGGUGCGGUUGGGGGGCGGUGGUUGGGGGGUGGGCGGAUGCGUGGGGUCGCUGUCUUUGGGGUUGGGGCCUCCUUGGGGUCAUCGUCUUCUUGGGGUUGUCACCUUAUUGGGGUCGCUGUCUUUGGGGUUGGGGCCUCCUUGGGGUCAUUGUCUUCUUGGGGUCAUCACCUUAUUGGGGUCGCUGCCUUUGGGGUUGGGGCCUCCUUGGGGUCAUUGUCUUCUUGGGGUCAUCAUCUUUGGGGUUGGCACAUUGGGGUCAUCAUCUUCUUGGCAUCAUCUUCUUUGGUCAUCAUCUUCUUGGGAUCAUCAUCUUCUUGAGGUCAUCGUCUUCUUGGGGUCAUCACCUUAUUGGGGUUGCUGCCUUUGGGGUUGGGGCCUCCUUGGGGUCAUCGUCUUCUUGGGGUCAUCAUCUUUGGGGUUGGCAUAUUGGGGUCAUUGUCUUCUUGGGGUCAUUGUCUUUGUGGUUGGCAUAUUGGGGUUAUCAUUUUCUUGGGAUCAUCAUCUCCUUGGGGUCACCAUCUUUGAGGUUUUGGGGUCAUCCUCUUCUUGGGAUCACCAUCUUUUUGGGGUCACCACCUCCUUGGAGUCAUCAGCUUUUUGGGGUCAUUGUCUUCUUGAAGUCACCUCUUUGGGGUCGCCAUCUUUGGGGUUUUGGGGUCACCAUCUUUGGGGUUGUCACCGUCGCUUUGGGGUCUCCCAUCUUUUUGGGGUCUCCACUUUUGGGGUCACUUUGGGGUUCAUUGCCAAAUUAAAAACCAAACCCCAAAACACCCAAUGAAUCAAAGUUCCUUUUAAUGUGGAGGUUCCCAGAAGGGACAGCGGGAACCAUGGGGACGUUUGGGGCCAAUGGGGGCACAUGGGGUCAAUGGGGACAAUUUGGGGUAUUGGAGACAUUUGGGGACAUUGGGGGACAAUGGGACACAGUGGAAACAUCUGGGGACAGUGGGGCACAUGGGAUCAAUGGGGACAAUUUGGGGUAUUGGGGACAUUUGGGGACAAUGGGGACAUAUGGGACAAAUGGGGACACUGGGGCACUUAACCACGCCCCCUCCCGUAGCCCCGCCCGCUCCCUCUUAGCCACGCCCACUCCCCAUAGCCCCGCCCCUCCCCGCUCGACCACGCUCCCUUCCCGCCCUGCUCCUCUGCGCUACUUCCGGUCCGCU